rnacentral:rRNA from 1 species
CCUACGGGCGGCAGCAGUGAGGAAUAUUGGUCAAUGGACGGAAGUCUGAACCAGCCAUGCCGCGUGCAGGAAGACGGCUCUAUGAGUUGUAAACUGCUUUUGUACAAGGGUAAACCUGAAUACGUGUAUCCAGCUGAAAGUACUGUACGAAUAAGGAUCGGCUAACUCCGUGCCAGGCGCCGCGGUAAUACGGAGGAUCCAAGCGUUAUCCGGAUUUAUUGGGUUUAAAGGGUGCGUAGGCGGAUUGUUAAGUUAGAGGUGAAAUGUCCGGGCUUAACUCGGGAACUGCCUCUAAUACUGUCGGUCUAGAGAGUAGUAGCGGUAGGUGGAAU